AAAAACAAAAAUCUUUUCUUUGCUUUGUUUCAAUAUUGUUUCAAACUAUUCUGUUUAGAUUUAGACGAGAGCGUUGGGAGACUGGGACUGUUAUUUUGUAAUCCUUAAUCUUUACCCGAUUCCAUGAUCUUCAAUCUGAUUAACAUGUUGCUUGUUGCAAAGAUACGUUAAGAGUUGAAAAAACUUUUUCAGCGAUAAUAUUCGAAAAUAUGGCGUUUGCAUUGGUGAAUUUUUACAACGAAAAUACAUGGAUAUCAUUCCAUAUUCUAACAUCAUUUUUUAGGAUGAAAAUAUGUCGAAAGACAAAGAUGAACUUAAAGGAUUCAAAACGUUAGUCAUGUGGGGCGAUGGAAAAACAAAGGGAAACGGCAAGUCGAAGAAAUUUCCUGCAGAGAUAAUAGAGGUUUCAGAUAGUAAAGAUUAUUUGCUCAAGACAAUGAGAAAAGAAGAAACUUUCUCUAUAAAUACUGGCAAAGGGUGUCACAAAAGAAUUCACAAAGCAAAGUUUACAAUUGAAAGUGAGAGUGAAUCAGAUGAUGUGCAGGAGCACAGUAUUCCUAAAAAGCUAAAGGCAUCCAGGUGAAAGAAAACAGAGGCUUGCUGCUCAGCAAGCCUUGCUUCACUUAUAAAAGAGUAAUUAACCAAGGAGAGUCAGUCAGAUGAAGGUAGUGCACUUUGCAAUGAUAAAUGCAAGUAUAAAAAAGAAGCCUUAGAACUCAAAGAGAGGGUAGAAAUGCUGGAAAAUCAGAUCAAAAGACUAAAUGAGCAAAUUGACAAUGGCAAUGGGUUGAACCAACUUUUUGCAAGUACCUUUAAAGCAUAUGUUGGCCAUGGACAAAGAACUGAUAAUGUUGAUAAUGGUUGUGAAAAUGGUGAUGUUCCCGGCGAUAGAGAAGUGUUGUAAAUAAUGAUGGUGAUGAUGAUGGUAAUUCUGGGAAUGUAUUUUGUGCACGAGACGGAACAGUUAAUGAAGGUGACGGACACCUUGUAACAGAAAACGCCGUGCCUAAAAAAGUUGAUAAAGAACGCAGGAAGGGAAGAAGUAACA